UUGAUCAUGGCUCAGGAUGAACGCUAGCGGCAGGCCUAACACAUGCAAGUCGAGGGGCAUCACGAGGCAGCAAUACUUUGGUGGCGACCGGCGCACGGGUGCGUAACGCGUAUGUAACCUACCUAUAACAGGGGCAUAACACUGAGAAAUUGGUACUAAUUCCCCAUAUUAUUCGGAGAGGCAUCUCUCCGGGUUGAAAACUCCGGUGGUUAUAGAUGGACAUGCGUUGUAUUAGCUAGUUGGUGAGGUAACGGCUCACCAAGGCAACGAUACAUAGGGGGACUGAGAGGUUAACCCCCCACACUGGUACUGAGACACGGACCAGACUCCUACGGGAGGCAGCAGUGAGGAAUAUUGGUCAAUGGACGCAAGUCUGAACCAGCCAUGCCGCGUGCAGGAAGACGGCUCUAUGAGUUGUAAACUGCUUUUGUACGAGGGUAAACUCACCUACGUGUAGGUGGCUGAAAGUAUCGUACGAAUAAGGAUCGGCUAACUCCGUGCCAGCAGCCGCGGUAAUACGGAGGAUUCAAGCGUUAUCCGGAUUUAUUGGGUUUAAAGGGUGCGUAGGCGGUUUGAUAAGUUAGAGGUGAAAUCCCGGGGCUUAACUCCGGAACUGCCUCUAAUACUGUUAGACUAGAGAGUAGUUGCGGUAGGCGGAAUGUAUGGUGUAGCGGUGAAAUGCUUAGAGAUCAUACAGAACACCGAUUGCGAAGGCAGCUUACCAAACUAUAUCUGACGUUGAGGCACGAAAGCGUGGGGAGCAAACAGGAUUAGAUACCCUGGUAGUCCACGCAGUAAACGAUGAUAACUCGUUGUCGGCGAUACACAGUCGGUGACUAAGCGAAAGCGAUAAGUUAUCCACCUGGGGAGUACGUUCGCAAGAAGGCAACUCAAAUGAAUUGACGG
rnacentral:rRNA from 1 species